rnacentral:rRNA from 1 species
UACGUAGGGACCAAGCGUUGUCCGGAAUCAUUGGGCGUAAAGCGCGCGCAGGCGGUCUUCCAAGUCAGUGGUGAAAGCCCGGAGCUCAACUCCGGAACUGCCAUUGAAACUGUUAGACUUGAGGAUGAGAGAGGUGAGUGGAAUUCCCAGUGUAGAGGUGAAAUUCGUAGAUAUUCGCAAGAACACCAGUGGCGAAGGCGGCUCACUGGCCCGGUACUGACGCUGAGGUGCGAAAGCGUGGGGAGCAAACAGG